UACGGGGGGGGCAAGCGUUGUUCGGAAUUACUGGGCGUAAAGGGCUCGUAGGUGGCCAACUAAGUCAGACGUGAAAUCCCUCGGCUUAACCGGGGAACUGCGUCUGAUACUGGAUGGCUUGAGUUCGGGAGAGGGAUGCGGAAUUCCAGGUGUAGCGGUGAAAUGCGUAGAUAUCCGGAGGAACACCGGUGGCGAAGGCGGCAUCCUGGACCGACACUGACACUGAGGAGCGAAAGCCAGGGGAGCAAACGGG
rnacentral:rRNA from 1 species